AGCCGAAACGGCCCGCCGGGGCCGUCCGCCGGGAAUGGCCGCCCGGCGCUGAUGAUGGCAGGCCAAA
rfam:Clostridiales bacterium 59_14 Ley3_66761_scaffold_16535, whole genome shotgun sequence.